GACGAACGCUGGCGGCGUGCCUAAUACAUGCAAGUUGAGCGAUGAAGAUUGGUGCUUGCUCCAAUUUGAAGAGCAGCGAACGGGUGAGUAACGCGUGGGGAAUCUGCCUUUGAGCGGGGGACAACAUCUGGAAACGAAUGCUAAUACCGCAUAACAUCUUUAAACAUAAGUUUUAAGUUUGAAAGAUGCAAUUGCAUCACUCAAAGAUGAUUCCGCGUUGUCUUAGCUAGGUGGUGAGGUAAAGGCUCACCAAGGCGAUGAUACAUAGCCGACCUGAGAGGGUGGUCCGCCCACAUGGGACUGGGGACCGGCCCAAACUUCCACGGGAGGCAGCAGGAGGGAAUCCUCGGGAAAGGAGGGAAGUCUGACCGGACAACGCCGGCGGAGGGAAGAAGGGUCUCGGGUCGUAAAAAUCUGUUGGUAGAGAAGAACGUUGGGGAGAGUGGAAAGCUCAUCAAGUGACGGUAACUACUCAGAAAGGGACGGCUAACUACGUG
rnacentral:rRNA from 1 species